CUUAUGUAUGUGUAAAGGAGAGAGACAGAAAAGGAGGGUGAAAGGAGACACAGAGACAGACAGACAGACACAUAGAUAGAAACCCCAAAGGGGUUUGGGCAUUGCAACCCUGGAAAACCAUCUGAGCAAAGAUAGUAGAGAGGGAAGCUGUAGGGUGCACUUGGGAAGGAGGUAUUACUAAAGUCUGGUGCCAUCCUGCUUAACCAGCUUCCAUUCACCUGCCCUUCUGUUGCCUCCCAGUUAUUUCCUUUCUGCCCUGCAGCUUUGUCUACAACCCUCUAUAUAUCUUUGUUCCCUUGCAGAAUUGAGCAGGCACAGGGCUAUCCCACAAACCUAGCCCAGAGAAUUGUGGGAGAUGUAGUUUCUGAGGAAGACAGUAUCAUCUGGCCUUGGGCAUGAACUUGGUGCUUUCUUUUCAAAGCCUCCAAGCCCAUUCCCACACCCUGGUGUGUGCUGUGGGAAGAGCCCUUUGGGCCAGGGAAAGGGGCUGGGCCCAGGCUGUUGUAGGGAAAGCCAUUUGUGGAGGGGAUCUCCAUCCAGAGCUGGUUGUGUUAUUCAGUCGCUGCAAUAAUCUCCAAGAUUUUUUAUUCUUUGUUUUUAGUUCCUCUUUUUCGCAAAAACCUGUGGUUAAGGAAUUUUGAGAACAGUUCGGAAGAUCAUGAUAUACUCUUGGGGAAUAUCUAUUUUUCUAGAGAUAAGAAAAUGUUUAAUAAGAUGAGACAGACGGAGUUACAACUUCAGCUGUAUGAGUUUCUGAAAGAAUUUUCUGACUCUUUGAGGAAGAUAAAGAAGAGGAAGGAAAUCAAUUGGGAUGAAGUGAUGCCCAAAAGGCCUCUUCUUGCAGAAAUCAUUGUGUUCGGCUGUCUGUCCAUCCUGUUUGCUUUGACUGGUGGAGCAGUUCUGUGGUUAACAUUAUAUAACCUCUUGAAGCAAGAAGACAAUGGGAAAAACAAUGGGAAAAACAAUGGGAAAAACAACGGGAGAAACAGCCUGGAAUUUAGAAAUUAUGCUGAAAUGAUAAGUUCCUCACAAUCACCAAUUGAUUCCAGGUGGGAAGUAAGGGACUCAUCUGGUAUGGACUCUGAAAAGGAAAAGCACUUCAAAGCUUUACUCCAUUCAGAUUCCUUCCAGAGUCAACGGAGCAUUAAUAGAUCUUUUAGCAGCAUGACGUGCUGUAGGGAAAUAGUUUUCUGUUGCUACCAGGACAGGAACUUGAUCCGAAAUGCACCUGUUCCAUUUUAAAAAGCAUCACUUCCAAAAGAAACUGGUAUUAUAGUCAUAAAGGGCAUUAAUUAGCUGAUACACAUCCAUAGAGGGGUGAUAAGAUUCUUGACAUGAUGCUAUUUGAACUUUGAAGUAAUUGGGAUUUGUUUAGACGUGGAGAAGAAAAGACUUUAAAAGAAAUCUGAAAAUUGUCUUCAGGUAUUUGAAGAACUGCCAUAUGGAAAAGGGAUUCAAAAUGCAGAAUGCUAUCUUUUUCUGCUUUCAGAGAGUAGAGGUUGGGGCAGGAUGAGGGAUGAAACAAGUGGAUGGGAAGAUAGG
rnacentral:lncRNA from 1 species